AAUGCUUCUCAAAGAUGCCCUCUGGUGGUCAAACUAGCAAUAACUUGCAGUAACAGAAGAAAUGGCUGAGAAUUAAAUGACGUGCCACAGAAUGCUGCAGCAGCACGCAGGGUGUGCCGCAGUAUGACAACUUUUAAAGGAGGAACCACUGUACAGCCUAUGUGCCGUGUCCAUCUGGUCUGGAUAAACAAAUUGGUGACGAGGUGGUGACCACUCCACUACCACUGUCAAUUCUCUCCUGACAGUGAAGCCACGUCUCAUGUGCCCACUCAUCCACUGGCACCAUGAAUGUUUCUUCUCCAAGCUCUUCAAAUCUUGUCCUGCCCUCAGUGGAAGAGUUGAGCUCUUCUCCAUCCCUAUCCAUCAAUGAUGUGCCUGUCCUGCAUUCAAGCAUCUGAACACCUCAACUCAUGCUGCAUACCCUCAUUCAAUCACUGCUGUGAUCCCUUCCCAACAAUGUGGGCAGUAGCAGCUCUGAUGUUUAACAGCAGAAGUGGAGCAGGAAGGAUGUUGUUAAUUGUGACUGUUGGACCUCCAGCAUGGCUUUGGCUGCUCUCAAGGGUAGCAGAGCUAAUGUCACUGUGA
rnacentral:lncRNA from 1 species